CAGUUUGGCUUCCCUGUUCUGGGUGGCAAAGCCUGUGGAGUACUCACCUACCUGCUGCAUGAAGGCAGCAUGGAGGGACUGUGGUGGAUUAUCUGCAAAGAUGGCCAAAAUUCUCUCAUCCCUGCAGGCACAUACAAGAAGAACUGAAGCUCAGCUAUUCACCCUACAGAAAGCCUGAAUUUUGUAAAAGUUCUGCUUAGAAUGAGGAAGAAAGAUGAAGAAUGAGGAGGAAGAAGGGAGGAACAAGAGAGAGAGGUAAAGACAACAAACAGAACAGACCUACAUUUGCAGCAUCUCCAAGUUUCUGCAACAGCAUUAUGUUGUUGUUAUGUUUUGUUUUAAUAAAAGCACAUACCAUUU
rnacentral:lncRNA from 1 species